AUACCCUGGUAGUCCACGCCGUAAACGUUGGGCGCUAGGUGUGGGGGUCCUUCCACGACCUCCGUGCCGCGGCUAACGCAUCAAGCGCCCCGCCUGGGGAGUACGGCCGCAAGGCUAAAACUCAAAGGAAUUGACGGGGGCCCGCACAAGCGGCGGAGCAUGCGGAUUAAUUCGAUGCAACGCGAAGAACCUUACCAAGGCUUGACAUGCACGGGUAAGUUCCAGAGAUGGUUCCCCCGCAAGGUCCGUGCACAGGUGGUGCAUGGUUGUCGUCAGCUCGUGUCGUGAGAUGUUGGGUUAAGUCCCGCAACGAGCGCAACCCUUGUCUUAUGUUGCCAGCGGGUUAUGCCGGGGACUCAUAAGGGACUGCCGGGGUCAACUCGGAGGAAGGUGGGGAUGACGUCAAAUCAUCAUGCCCCUUAUGUCUUGGGCUUCACGCAUGCUACAAUGGCCGGUACAAAGGGCUGCGAAACCGUGAGGUGGAGCGAAUCCCAAAAAGCCGGUCUCAGUUCGGAUUGGGGUCUGCAACUCGACCCCAUGAAGUCGGAGUCGCUAGUAAUCGCAGAUCAGCAACGNNGCG
rnacentral:rRNA from 1 species